UACGGGGGGAGCAAGCGUUGUUCGGAUUUACUGGGCGUAAAGGGCGCGUAGGCGGUCAGCACAAGUCAGUUGUGAAAUCUCCGGGCUUAACUCGGAAAGGUCAACUGAUACUGUGCGACUAGAGUGCGGAAGGGGCAACUGGAAUUCUUGGUGUAGCGGUGAAAUGCGUAGAUAUCAAGAGGAACACCUGCGGCGAAGGCGGGUUGCUGGGCCGACACUGACGCUGAGGCGCGAAAGCCAGGGGAGCGAUCCGG
rnacentral:rRNA from 1 species